CUUCACUUCAUCCAGGAGCUGUGAAAUGGCGCUGCUCGUCCUCCUGUUCUUCUUCCAUCUGAUUCUGGACAUUAACUCUCAAUAUGUUCCUCUCCCAGCUCCAGUCUCAGUGCGGUAUCAGAAACCGAGACUAAGCGUCAGUCAUGAUGAUCAGUUUGAUGUAUUCAGAUUUGUGUGUGAAAUAUCAGGGUCAGAGUCAGUAACUGCUGAUUUUAGCUGUAAUCUCUACACUGGAGAAAAUCCUCAGCCUUAUGUAAAGACAGGAUCUCAGAAGGCAGUUUGUAGAUUUACAGCAAAGAAAAAUGAUCUGUUUAAUCGUCUGCAGUCAGUAAAGAGUCGUG
ensembl:lncRNA